UGGAUAACUUUCCGAAAGGAAAGCUAAUACAGCAUGAGACCACGGCUUCGUUGAAGCUGCGGCCAAAGCAGGCCUCUACACGUAAGCUUGCGCUUGAGGAUGAGUCUGCGGCCCAUCAGCUAGUUGGUAGGGUAAUGGCCUACCAAGGCUAAGACGGGUAGCUGGUCUGAGAGGAUGAACAGCCACACUGGAACUGAGACACGGUCCAG
rnacentral:rRNA from 1 species